UCAUACAACUUGAGAGUUUGAUCCUGGCUCAGGACGAACGCUGGCGGCAGGCUUAACACAUGCAAGUCGAACGCACCUUCGGGUGAGUGGCAGACGGGUGAGUAACGCGUGGGAAUCUACCUUUUGGUACGGAAU
rnacentral:rRNA from 1 species